rnacentral:rRNA from 1 species
GUCCAUGCCGUAAACGAUGAUUACUAGGUGUUGGGGGAUUGACCCCCUCAGUGCCGCAGUUAACACAAUAAGUAAUCCACCUGGGGAGUACGACCGCAAGGUUGAAACUCAAAGGAAUUGACGGGGGCCCGCACAAGCAGUGGAGUAUGUGGUUUUAAUUCGAAGCAACGCGAAGAACCUUACCAGGUCUUGACAUCCGAUGCAUAACACAGAGAUGUGUGAAAUCCUUCGGGACAUCGAGACAGGUGGUGCAUGGUUGUCGU